AUGUGCAAUCUUCCAAUCGAGCUCAGAGGUGCUCUGUAUUUGAGUUACGAUGAUCUGCCACGGCAUUUGAAGCAAUGCUUCCUCUAUUUAAUCUUAUACCCAGAAGAUCGGUACAUGUACCGAGAUGAUCUUAUCAGGCUUUGGGUUGCUGAAGGCUUUGUUGAGGAGCAUAAAGGACAACUUCUGGAGGAUACAGCUGAAGAAUAUUACUAUGAAUUGAUAUAUAGGAAUCUACUGCAACUCGACCCUUUACGUUUUGACCAUAGCAUGUGCAAAAUGCAUGAUCUCUUGAGGCAACUUGCUCAACACUUUUCAAGAGACGAAAAUUAUUGUGGCGAUCCACAAUCAUUACAGGUUACAACUCUGUCCAAGCUACGGCGUGUUUCAGUUGUCACUGACAAGGAUUCUUUAAUGCUCCCCAAUGUGGACAGAGAGAUUAGAGCAAGGACACUGUUAAUUCAUUCUGCUAAGAAACUGAGUGUUGAAAAUACAAUUUUCAAGAGGCUACCAUGCAUCAGAGUUUUAGAUCUGACUGGUUCAUCUAUAAAAAGCAUUCCAGAUUGCGUUGGUGGUUUGAUCCAUCUACGACUUCUUGAUCUAGAUGAGACAGCCAUAUCUUGUCUUCCAGAGUCAAUCGGUUCUUUGACAAACCUUCAGAUACUGAACUUGCAAAGGUGCAAAGCUCUGCACAGCCUUCCUUCGUCGAUCACACAAUUGUGCAAUUUAAGGCGCCUUGGUCUAGGUGGUACACCGAUAAAUCAGGUGCCAAAAGGGAUAGGUAAACUAGAAUUCCUCAAUGAUCUGGAAGGAUUUCCUAUUGGUGGUACAAGUGAUGACGCUAAUACACAAGAUGGAUGGAAGUUGGAAGAGUUGGGGCAUCUUUCGCAGCUAAGGCAGCUUCACAUGAUCAAAAUGGAAAGAGCAGCUCCUAGUGCAACAAAUUCUUCAUUGUUAGGAGACAAAAAGUAUCUCAAAUUUCUGAAUCUUUGGUGCAGUCAAUGUAAAGAAGAACCAAAUUCAGAUGAUAUCAGCAAUAUUGAGAAGAUUUUUGAGCAGCUAAUCCCUCCACACAACUUGGAAAAGCUUAUUAUUGUCAAUUUCUUUGGUCGAGGGUAUCCCACCUGGCUUGGUACCAGUAUCCAUUUGUCUUCAACAACAUAUUUGAACCUUACCGACUGCAAAUACUGUGCGCAUCUUCCAGCAAUUUGGCAGCUAGCCAGCCUCAGAUAUCUGAAAAUUGUUGGAGCAACCGCAAUUACCAAGAUCGGACCCGAAUUUGUUGGAUGCGAGGAGGCUAAUCCCAUAGAAUCCACGGAGGCAGUUGCCUUCCCCAAGCUCGAAUACCUCGUCAUCAAGGAUAUGCCCAACUGGAGCGAGUGGUCCUUUGUUGAAGAAGAAGAAGAAGAAGAAGAAGAAGAAGAAGAUGCAAUGGCAGCAGCUACGGAAGGGGGAGUGACUGCGACAUCUCCCCCGAUGCAGCUGCUGCCAUGCCUGAAGAGGUUGGAGCUUCUUGGCUGCCCCAAGCUGAGAGCUCUCCCACGACAGCUUGGACCGGAGGCCACCAACCUGAAAGAGCUCUUUAUUAUUGGAGCAAGCUGCUUGAAGGCAGUGGAGGACCUCCCUUUCGUGGAGAGUGUCUUGAUCUCGGGAUGUCAGGUCCUGGAGACGAUCUCGAACCUUCCUCGACUGAGGGAGCUACGCAUAAACGAUUGCCGAACAUUGAGGCGUGUCGGUGUCGAGGCGCUGGCAAGCUUGCAGCAGCUAUGGUUGACAGAGAGUAUGCAGGAGAUCUCUUCUUUGCUGUGGGUGCAACAAGAGCGCCGUCAGCUUCACGGCCAUGGGGAAGACCCGCUGGAUGUCUACCAAUGGGCAAUGCCUCUAGCGGAUUAG
rnacentral:rRNA from 1 species